GGGGUCGACUUGGCUUCGACGUGGGUCGCAAAGCAGAUAAGGGCAUACCGAGGGUCGGAUGACCUCGUAAAUCCAACCGAAAAAGUAAUAGUCGCCAACGACGAAACCUACGCUCUGGCCGCUUAAUUGCGCCAGACUCUGCACCAGUCAGCCUGCGGACUGGGUCGGGUAAAACCGGCAGCAGAGUCACUUCAGCAGGAUCGCGCUGUCCCGGGUGGCUUGGGCCAGCGUUAAAUCAAGGUCACUCGCCUGAGGCGAGCCUGUUCGGCGGGCGCGCACCGGGUUAAAACCCAAAACACCGGACUAAGUAUGUAGAACUUACUGUAGAGGGCUUGCGGACGGGGGUUCGAUUCCCCCCGACUCCACCA
rnacentral:tmRNA from 1 species